CAGCAGUGGGGAAUCUUGCGCAAUGGCCGAAAGGCUGACGCAGCGACGCCGCGUGUGGGAUGAAGCAUUUCGGUGUGUAAACCACUGUUGCCCGGGACGAACAGCUUCUUUCGAGGAGCCUGACGGUACCGGGUGAGGAAGCACCGGCUAACUCCGUGCCAGCAGCCGCGGUAAUACGGAGGGUGCGAGCGUUGUCCGGAAUCACUGGGCGUAAAGGGCGCGUAGGUGGCGCGAGUAGUCAACGGUGAAAGCCCGGGGCUCAACCCCGGGUCGGCCGUCGAUACUCUCGUGCUUGAGCACUGUAGAGGCAGGUGGAAUUCCGGGUGUAGCGGUGGAAUGCGUAGAGAUCCGGAAGAACACCGGUGGCGAAGGCGGCCUGCUGGGCAGUAGCUGACACUGAGGCGCGACAGCGUGGGGAGCAAACGGGAUUAGA
rnacentral:rRNA from 1 species